UUCUAGGUGAGUGCAGUUCCGUUCGUUGAUGUAGUUCAGAAUGACUCAAUUUUGUGUCUAUCAACCUGUGGCGUGUAAACGUUGAGGUACAGACAAUCUUCGCUGCCCAAUGUGCUACCAAAUGCCUGGGGACAUUCGUUUCCAUCUGCAGUGGCAUUUAGAGUCCCGUUCCAAACUCCGGCUGCCACGGGGUUCGCGAAUCUGACGUGAAUAAAAUUGAGAAUCUAAUUAA